rnacentral:rRNA from 1 species
GACGAACGCUGGCGGCGUGCUUAACACAUGCAAGUCGAACGGACAGGCCCUGCUUUUGCGGGUUGCUCGAGUGGCGCACGGGUGAGUAACACGUGAGUAACAUGCCCUUGUCUUUGGGAUAACUUCUGGAAACUGGGGCUAAUACCGGAUAGGAGCUCCUGCUGCGUGGUGGGGGUUGGAAAGUUUCGGCGGUUGGGGAUGGACUAGCGGCUUAUCAGCUUGUUGGUGGGGUAGUGGCUUACCAAGGCUUUGACGGGUAGCCGGCCUGAGAGGGUGACCGGCCACAAUGGGACUGAGAGACGGCGCAGUCUCCUACGUGAGGCAGCAGGGGGGAAUAUUGCACAAUAGGCGGAAGUCUGAUGCGACAACGCCGCGUGCGGGAUAACGUCCUUCGAGUUGUAAACCGCUUUCGCCUGUGACGAGGCGUGAGUGACGGUAAUUGGUAAAGAAGCACCGGCUAACUACGUG